UACGGGGGGGGCAAGCGUUGUUCGGAAUUACUGGGCGUAAAGGGGACGUAGGCGGCCAACUAAGUCCGACGUGAAAUCCCAAGGCUUAACCUUGGAACUGCGUUGGAUACUGGAUGGCUUGAAUUCGGGAGAGGGAUGCAGAAUUCCAGGUGUAGCGGUGAAAUGCGUAGAUAUCUGGAGGAAUACCGGUGGCGAAGGCGGCAUCCUGGACCGACAUUGACGCUGAAAGCCGAAAGCUAGGGGAGCAAACGGG
rnacentral:rRNA from 1 species